rnacentral:rRNA from 1 species
AUUGAACGCUGGCGGCAGGCCUAACACAUGCAAGUCGAGCGGGGACUUCGGUCCUAGCGGCGAACGGGUGAGUAAUGCUUGGGAAUCUGCCCAGUAGUGGGGGAUAACGUCCCGAAAGGGACGCUAAUACCGCAUACGUCCUACGGGAGAAAGAGGGGGAUCUUCGGACCUCUCGCUAUUGGAUGAGCCCAAGUCGGAUUAGCUAGUUGGUAGGGUAAUGGCCUACCAAGGCGACGAUCCGUAGCUGGUCUGAGAGGAUGAUCAGCCACACUGGAACUGAGACACGGUCCAGACUCCUACGGGAGGCAGCAGUGGGGAAUAUUGGACAAAGGGCGAAAGCCUGAUCCAGCCAUGCCGCGUGUGUGAAGAAGGCCUUCGGGUUGUAAAGCACUUUAAGCGGGGAGGAAGGUUCGCGGCCUAAUACGUCGCGGAAUUGACGUUACCCGCAGAAUAAGCACCGGCUAACUCUGUG